GAAGCUUUAUUUUAAGAUAAAAUAUUUAUUUGCAAAAUAGAAGACUGAGGUUUCU
rnacentral:tRNA from 1 species